AAUCUCGGGAAACUGAGGAUAAUACUCCAUAGAUCUAGGAUGCUGGAAUGCAUCUAGAUCGAAAGCUCCGGCGCCUAAGGAUGAGUCUACGGACUAUCAGGUUGUAGUCAGGGUAAAGACCUGACUAGCCUACGACGGAUACGGGUUGUGAGAGCAAUAACCCGGAGACGAUAUCUGAGACACGAUAUCGGGCCCUACGGGGCGCAGCAGGCGCGAAAACUUCACACUGUGCGAAAGCGCGAUGAGGGAAUCCCAAGUGUUUACUCGUAAGAGUAAACUGUUUCUUUGUUUAAAACGCAGAGAGAGUAAGGGCUGGGUAAGACGGGUGCCAGCCGCCGCGGUAAUACCUGCAGCUCAAGUGGUGAUCAUUAUUAUUGGGCCUAAAACGUCCGUAGCCGGUUUAGUAAAUGCCUGGGUAAAUCGUGUAGCUUAACUAUACGACUUCCGGGUAGACUGCUAAACUUGAGACCGGGUGAGGCUAGAGGUACUCCUGGGGUAGAGGUGAAAUUCUGUAAUCCUAGGGGGACCACCAGUGGCGAAGGCGUCUAGCUAGAACGGGUCUGACGGUGAGGGACGAAGCCCUGGGGCACAAACCGGAUUAGAUACCCGGGUAGUCCAGGGUGUAAACGCUGCUUGCUUGAUGUUAGUUGGGCUCCGAGCCCAACUAGUGUCGGAGAGAAGUUGUUAAGCAAGCUGCCUGGGAAGUACGGUCGCAAGGCUGAAACUUAAAGGAAUUGGCGGGGGAGCACAGCAACGGGUGGAGCGUGCGGUUUAAUUGGAUUCAACGCCGG
rnacentral:rRNA from 1 species